AAACAUUCUUCCUCUUCAUACAUACCGUCUAAUCAUGGCCACAACGACGAAGAUCUUCGGAUUCGUGCUGCUGGUGAUAACAACCUUCAUGGCUCUCUCGGUUUCCUGUUCUUCGGCAACGGUAUACAAAGUUGGAGACUCGGAUGGAUGGACUACCAAGGACGAAACCUAUAAUUAUUUUUGGGUUGAGGAUAAAGAGUUCCACGUGGGAGAUUCUUUGGUGUUCGAAUACGAUCCCCUAUUCAACGACGUAACUCAAGUCUCUGGUGCCUUGGUGUUGCAUUUUCAGGUUCUUCCUCUAUUUAACCUUUAGAGGUUCACCAUCUCUCACACUCUCUUUAGUAUCUCUCUGUUUCUUUUGUUGUUGAAACAAAGAUUACCUUGUUCUCUCUUUACUCUCUUUGAUUGUUACACAAACGUUUAGUAAGAGAGAAGAGAGAAACCAUUAAUUGUCUACAUCUUGUUUAUUGGAUCAAAGGAUACUUUUCUUACAAGACACACACACAUAGAUAUAGUGGUUUUUCUACUGACCACACACAUUUGCAACCAUACUUCUACUUAGACCUAGACCUUACUUCUAGACAUCAUUACCUAAGCUUAUAACCAAGCUCACAAGCAAGGUUAACCAACAACUCUUACACAACACAACUCUAGUCUUUAGCUAGCAGUUUAACUAACAAAACACACUUCCUUUAAUUUGGGCCUUAACCAAAAACGUAGCCCAUUAGUCUUCUUAGGACCAAACCACACAAAGCCCAACACCUUUCUUCUUGUUGACUUUGCUCCUUCUUCUCUAUGUGUCGUUGACCUUGUCACGACUUCUUCUUCUUCUUCCUUUGCCUUUGCUCUAUGAGCACUUCUUCUUCUCGCUGAAGCUUCUUCUUCUUCUGCAGGUUUAAUCAAAGGUUCAAUUCCAACACUCCCUCUUGAACCCUUUGAUUAAAACCCCAAUUUCAAUUUAGGGAUUUUAAUCCCAUUGCUCCUUGCUUUUUCUUCAUCAUCUUCCUCUUGCUUCGAUUCUUCUUAAUCGAGCUUCUUUCUAUAUCUGUGGUUCUUAGCUUCUCCGACGACAGCUAGAGGUCACAACUCUCACCGAUCACCAGUCACUUCCGCCGUCUUCAACCACCACUUCCGAAAGACUUCAGCUCUUCCGCUUCAUGUCUCCUCCAAGUUUUCUCCGUGAGCUCUUCUCACGUCUCUUGCUCGGCUGACGUUGCAACCGGCUUCAGCUCCCACUGUGGUUUUGAUCCACUCAGAUUUCAACCCUAGUCACUGAUUGGAGCUUCUUAACACCAGUGCUGCCACCUUAAUUGCUUCCUCUUUGACGCAAGGCUUCACUGCCUACAUUUCAUCUUAGAGGUUGCAACCAAGCUUGCAUUGGUGCCGUUUUUUCUUGUUCUACUUCAGCCACAGAAUUCUCCCUCUCGGUUUUGCACUUCACAGAUGGCUGCAGCAACUCUUCAUUUGUCUUGAGCUCAGGUCCACUCAAGAACUUUUUGCCUAUGAGCUCAGGUCCGCUCAAGGCUUCUCUUCCAGAGGCUCCAAGGAUAACUACAGCUCUGAUACCAUGUUGCAUUUUCAGGUUCUUCCUCUAUUUAACCUUUAGAGGUUCACCAUCUCUCACACUCUCUUUAGUAUCUCUCUGUUUCUUUUGUUGUUGAAACAGAGAUUACCUUGUUCUCUCUUUACUCUCUUUGAUUGUUACACAAACGUUUAGUAAGAGAGAAGAGAGAAACAAUUAAUUGUCUACAUCUUGUUUAUUGGAUCAAAGGAUACUUUUCUUACAAGAUACA